GUCUAGUAGAUGAGGUGGCAGAGGGCUUGGUGGUGGUUUAGAGGUCUAGUAGAUGAGGUGGCAGAGGGCUUGGUGGUGGUUUAGAGGUCUAGUAGAUGAGGUGGCAGAGGGCUUGGUGGUGGUUUAGAGGUCUAGUAGAUGAGGUGGCAGAGGGCUUGGUGGUGGUUUAGAGGUCUAGUAGAUGAGGUGGCAGAGGGCUUGGUGGUGGUAUGCCGAUAUAAGGCAGGAAUGGGGUUAAAACAGGAGUGGAUUUUCCCAACAGCCUUCGUAACUUAAGAAGUAUGUUACAGUAUUUCUGGAAUCAAGCCACUUGUCGAACAGCUUGUUGAAUUGCUAGAUUACACCACCUGCUUGGCUAAGCCUAUGGCGAUAUAUGGAGUGAAUAUACUAUGGAGCAGAGUUGAUCUUGUGUUUAGACAUUCUAAAUGCUUGAUAUAGAGUAUAUUACUUAUAUAUCUUGUCGAACAGCAAAGGGCUUCAGCUUCAUUUUACAAAUGUAAUUUGUUAAUCCAUACCAUAACAGAUGUAGACUACCAGCAAAUAUAGAUUGUAUAAUAGUUAUUAUCUCACACCUAGUGCAGCUGUGUUGGGAGAUAACAUACCACUUGAGUUAUCAAGGCUAUAGCAGACCCACCCGAGAACAGUACAUUGUACAGAACACAUCAGGGAUGGAGCGAGGACAGGGUCAAAACACAACAGUAAACAUCAGGGAUGGAGCGAGGACAGGGUCAAAACACAACAGUAAACAUCAGGGAUGGAGCGAGGACAAGGUCAAAACACAACAGUAAACAUCAGGGAUGGAGCGAGGACAAGGUCAAAACACAACAGUAAACAUCAGGGAUGGAGCGAGGACAAGGUCAAAACACAACAGUAAACAUCAGGGAUGGAGCGAGGACAAGGUCAAAACACAACAGUAAACAUCAGGGAUGGAGCGAGGACAAGGUCAAAACACAACAGUAAACAUCAGGGAUGGAGCGAGGACAAGGUCAAAACACAACAGUAAACAUCAGGGAUGGAGCGAGGACAGGGUCAAAACACAACAGUAAACAUCAGGGAUGGAGCGAGGACAAGGUCAAAACACAACAGUAAACAUCAGGGAUGGAGCGAGGACAAGGUCAAAACACAACAGUAAACAUCAGGGAUGGAGCGAGGACAAGGUCAAAACACAACAGUAAACAUCAGGGAUGGAGCGAGGACAGGGUCAAAACACAACAGUAAACAUCAGGGAUGGAGCGAGGACAGGGUCAAAACACAACAGUAAACAUCAGGGAUGGAGCGAGGACAAGGUCAAAACACAACAGUAAACAUCAGGGAUGGAGCGAGGACAAGGUCAAAACACAACAGUAAACAUCAGGGAUGGAGCGAGGACAGGGUCAAAACACAACAGUAAACAUCAGGGAUGGAGCGAGGACAAGGUCAAAACACAACAGUAAACAUCAGGGAUGGAGCGAGGACAGGGUCAAAACACAACAGUAAACAUCAGGGAUGGAGCGAGGACAGGGUCAAAACACAACAGUAAACAUCAGGGAUGGAGCGAGGACAAGGUCAAAACACAACAAUUCUUCAGGAUAACAACAGUAGAGAUCCUGUCAAAUGAAGAGCUGUUAAUGUAGAAAUUUUGAGAGAUCAAUUCAAUCAAACUGGCAUCGUAUCUCAUAUUGACUGUACUGAAGUAAUAGUGCAGAAGGGUUUCAGACACCGUGAGAAUAUUCAGUAGACUCCCCUCACAGGUAUAUGCUUAAAGAUUCUGAACGUUCCCUGUGUGAGAACAAAGAUACUGUCACCAGGCAACACCUCUAAGGCACAUUUGAUUGAACAGAUCUCUCAGUAAACAAAAAAGGGGGUCAUCACUAAUUUCUGAAUCGGAAAGAGAAGAAAUACACAUUUUAUAAUUGUCAUGGCUUCAUUUGUCCAUAUCUUGAGUGGCUGGCCAGAACAAUGGCAUCUCAAUGAAGGAGACCAUUCAGUCUGAAAAUGUCUCAGACUCCCUUACAAAACAUUAUCUGAGUAAUUUUCUUCUCUGUCAAUUUCAGACAUCUGUGAAUACCACCGAUCACUCUCAGUGUGUGUGAGUGUGUGUGUGUGUGUGAGUGAGAGAGAGAGAGAGAGAGAGAGAGAGAGAGAGAGAGAGAGAGAGAGAGAGAGAGAGAGAGAGAGAGAGAGAGAGAGAGAAAUUGAAGUGAGAGAAAUUGAAGUGAGAGAAAGAAAUUCAUUGUGAGUAGGGACCUUCGCUUCGUGCAGGCAGCCUACUGAGAAAGUCCACUAAAUGACUAUUCAAUGACAUUAAAUAGGAGACUUCUCUCCCCAUAGGAGGCUUCUCAUUAAAAUAAAUGCAAUCUCCCCAUAGGAGGCUUCUCAUUAAAAUAAAUGCUAUCUCCCCAUAAGAGGCUUCUCAUUUAAAUAAAUUGAGAUGAUUAUGGUUGAAUUCAAAGAUCCACAUGACUCCUGCAAGAUCUUUCUGGAACAGAAUACAUGUACGACAUGGACUGUAGUCAUGAAAGGUGAGGUUAGGCGGGUGUUGUCUGCUUUAGCUGUUAUAAAAUAAUCAUUCAUAAUAAUACAAAUAAUGCCCCCCUCCCGCCCCCCAAAAAACAGUUUUUCUAAUCUUUUCACAAAUAAAGCCUGACAACAUCAGUCUGAGAGAGAAGAGAGGAGAAGAGAAUAAAGAGAGGAGAAGAGAGGAGAACAAGGGAGAGAGAAGAGAUGAGAGAGGAGAAGAGAGGAGGGAGGAGAAGACAGGAGAGGAGAACAGAGACGAGAAGAAAGAACAGGGGAGAGAGAAGAGAUGAGAGAGGAGAAGAGAGGAGGGAGGAGAAGACAGGAGAGGAGAACAGAGACGAGAAGAAAGAACAGGGGAGAGAGAAGAGAUGAGAGAGGAGAAGAGAGGAGGGAGGAGAAGACAGGAGAGGAGAACAGAGAUGAGAAGAAAGAACAGGGGAGAGAGAAGAGAUGAGAGAGGAGAAGAGAGGAGAAGAGAGGAGAAGAGAGGAGGGAGGAGAAGAGAGGAGAACAGAGGAGGGGGAGAAGAGAGGAGAACAGAGGAGAGAGAAGCGAGAAGAGAGAAGAGAGGAGAGAGGAGAAAAGAGGAGAGACUAGAAGAGAGGAGAACAGGGGAGAGAGAAGAGAUGAGAGAAGACAAGAGAGUAGAUAAGAGAACAGAAGAGAGAAUAGAAGAGAAGAAAGGAGAGUUGAGGGGGGUAGAGGAGAGGAAAGGAAAGGAAUAUAAGUGUUUCUGAAGGAGGGAGGAAAGAAAGGGGGGGGGGUCAGAUUUCCACAGACCACUUCUGUAAGCACUCAGAGUGCGGUCAGCCUGACCAAGCCCUGGGGGGAGGAUGUCAAGGACUUAGCAAGGCUUUAGCUCGCACAGACACAGAGAUAUUCAGCUCUGCAGUAGUCAUAGAGGUUACACAGACAGAGAUAUUCAGCUCUGCAGUAGUCAUAGAGGUUACACAGACAGAGAUAUUCAGCUCUACAGUAGUCAUAGAGGUUACACAGACAGAGAUAUUCAGCUCUGCAGUAGUCAUAGAGGUUACACAGACAGGGAUAUUCAGCUCUGCAGUAGUCAUAGAGGUUACACAGACAGAGAUAUUCAGCUCUGCAGUAGUCAUAGAGGUUACACAGACAGAGAUAUUCAGCUCUGCAGUAGUCAUAGAGGUUACACAGACAGAGAUAUUCAGCUCUGCAGUAGUCAUAGAGGUUACACAGACAGAGAUAUUCAGCUCUGCAGUAGUCAUAGAGGUUACACAGACAGAGAUAAUCAGCUCUGCAGUAGUCAUAGAGGUUACACAGACAGAGAUAUUCAGCUCUGCAGUAGUCAUAGAGGUUACACAGACAGAGAUAUUCAGCUCUACAGUAGUCAUAGAGGUUACACAGACAGAGAUAUGUGUUCCAAAAGGUGACCUCUAUGUCUACAGUCUCAGAAAACAAGGUGCUCUCUAGUACUUAAAAUGGUUCUUCGGCAGUAGGAGAACCCUUUUGGGUUCCAUGUACUGUAGAACCCUCUGUGAAAAGGAUUUUACAUGGAACCCAAAAUGAUUCUACAUGGAACAACAAAGGGUUCUUCAAAGGGCUCUCCUAUGGGGACAGAUUGUAGUCAUAGAGGUCACGUCAAGUUUCCAUGGUGAAAAUAUAGACACCUUUUAACAUUAGGUUAUACAUGCUGCUUCUGACACCGAUAAACCAGUGGGUCAUGCAGGGUCAAGUGUUUGAUGUUUAUAGUGGUACUCUAUUCCCUACAUAGUCCACUACCUUUGACCACAAUCCUGUGGGCCUUGGUCAAAAGUAGUGCACAAUAUAGGGAAAAGGGUGCCAUUUGGGAUGCAUCCAGUAUCUCCAUAAAUAAAAGAAAAACAUGCAAAACAAAGAUGCCUAAGCCAUUUCCAGCUCUGAGGCAGAGGUGCAGUUACACGU